AGAAUAAAACCAAUUUCAGCCGUUUUUCAGUAACUACAUGUUGAAUCGUUUCGUUUGGUGCUCGUAGUAAUGGCAAUAUCUCUCCUCUUUAGCUGCCGGAGAAACCCAUCAUCACCGUCGUCGUUCCAACAACUCCGGCAACUACGAUCAGAUGCGACACUAGAGGCAAUCGCAAGAGCUGCCGAGGAGAAAACGCCAGUAGUAGCGCUGUACAACUACCCUUCAUUUUCCGGUGCUUAUUCAGCUCUCUUCGCUCACCUCUUCCACUCUCACCUCCGCCGCCCUUGCCUCCUCCUCCCGUUUUCCUCCGUCAUACCUUUCAGGGUUGAAGAUCUGUGUUAUGAAGGACUCAAGACAUGCUAUUUCCUUGAUUUCAUUGGCCCGAAAGGAUUUGCUGUGGAGCUUUGGCGGAGGACAGCUUGCGAAGUGAUAUGCUUCGAUCAUAGAAAAUUGACACUUCCAAAGAUUCCUUCAGUCGAGGAUUGUUCUGGGAAACUAACGUUUCAUGUUGAUGUUGGGAGGAGUAGCUCAAGGGCCGUUUUUGAAUAUUUUUCAAGCCAGCCUGAAUGCAUGAAAUCACCUGUUGGAAAUGGUGUGGCUAGUAGUUUGCUAAACUCAAAUGGUCGUAUAGAACUACUCUUGAACUAUCUUGAAGAUGGAGAUCUACGUCGAUGGAGGUUGCCUGACAUUCAGGCUUUUAGUAUUGGGAUUUCAGAAUGGAGGUCGAAGUUGAACUGUAUCGUUAAUCCACACAUGUUUGACCAGCUACUGGAGAUGAAUGUUACGGAACUGAUUACCAAGGGAAAUUCCAAUAUUUCAACUCGAAAAGAUGCGGCAAAAGUAUUUCUAGAAAAAUCUUUUAAACUUCGGCUAGGUCGAGGAUUCUAUGGGGAGUGCCUGGGAGUUAGAGCUGAUAGCAAUCCAGACCUGAGCGAUGAAAUUGGGAAAGAACUUAGUUUGAAGAGUGCUGCAGCUGGCUUAAGGUCUAUAGGAGCUGUAGUUUUCAUGCAACGUAAGAACCUGAAAGUGUGUCUGAGAAGUAUGGAUGGAAAUACGGACACCUCUGAGAUUGCAAAGGCAUAUGGUGGUGGAGGUUUGCCUAGUUCUAGCUCCUUCAUCAUAAGGAUGGAUGAAUAUAACCAGUGGCUCUCAGUCAAUUUGUCAAGUUAAUUGUAGUAUACAGAAGAUUCUAUAGAUGUACAAGAACUAGUGGAUAGGGCAUCCAUCAACCACUAUGCCCUUGGCUGUUGGACAUGUUGCUAGAUUGCAGUGCUCGCCAUUUGUACCCCACCAGGUCAAACUUUUAUUCUCCAUACCUAGUGAGAAGUACAACAGAACUGCCAUGAAGGCAACCCCAGCAUCUAAAGCCGCUGAAAGAAUGUAAUUGUACCUUUGCCACCAUUGCUUCCGGUAACGGAAAACAAAGAAGUUGAAAAUUGUUCCAACUAUGAUCCAGGCAUUGUAGUUUACAGUUGUUGCUGGUGGCAUAUAGGCUGUAGCCCCAAGAAGUACAGGAAGGUUAAUCAAUGGAAUCCAUGAUUGCUUAGGGAACGCUUUGUGAAAGAGCCAAACUAUAAUCGGUCCUAUUGCCCCUCCAAUGAAGAACCAGUUCAUGGCUUUGUACGUUCCAAGAUCCCCAAAAAUCCUCUUAGGACCAACCAGGCCCCAUAUAACAGAAGCAUCAAAAAAUACACGGUCACCAGGACAAGUCCAAGGACUGUCAGCUGGAAGCAGACUAUCGUCGCAUAUAUUGUGAAUUGAGUUGAGCAACCACCACGCUACUGAAAUGUUGAUGGUACCAGCAAAAAUGGUUCCUAUGAACUGAAAGAUCAUAUAAAAAGGUCUACAAGAGUAAGGUACGAUGUUAUCUAUAAAAGUAAAAAACUAUAAAUAUGACCGGGAUAAAUGGUAAAUGACACUGGAAAUACUUGACUAGCUGUAGUCUUACUUUAGUGUGGGAGAUGUGUGAUCUGGAUGCAGAAUCCAAGUUAAUAACUAGGUGAGAGCUAUACCUGAACCAAAAACAUUGAUCUUGGUGGGAUCUUCAUGUAGUGGCCUAGCUUGAAAUCGCUGAGGAAAGAAACAGCUUGUGACAUGCUCAUGUAACCAUAGACUUUGAAGCAGACGUUGGCAAUUGGUUUUCCUGGAUACUUCUUGGUAUUGAGUUAACACCAAAAUGGGAAUUUCUAGACACUAGAUUGGGAAAUGGUUCCAGAGUCUUAUACGAUGAAUGAAUAAAAAGUGAGAUCUGCAGGAAAUUAUAUAUGAUGAUGAUGCUUAAAAUUAAACAGAGUUAUGAUGCUGAUGGGAAGAGUGAAAACAAACGCUAUGCUACAAGCAAAGAGUAGAGCCCACCAAGGAAUUUGAACUUGGUCUUUCAAGAAGAUAGAGAGCAGAAAAGAAAUUGUUAUUGUCAACCCAAGAAGUAUGUAGAACCACCAUGCUGAUUUAGCAGCACAAAGUAACAUGCCUGUACAUAUUAUUGGAAUCGGGGAUUGUGAUCAUGGCACUGACACAUUUAUGAUAUAUCAGACAGUUGAUUUGGGCGUAUAUACAAGCAUUCCGGGUUUCAUUUUUGGGAUAUUCUGAUUCAUUAAUUCUUUCUCCUAACCCAUUCAUACGUCUCCGAAGCUUCCCAAGUUUUUGCAGUUGCAGCCUGCAGGAAUGCAGUAUUUCGUCUGCUGUGAGAUAUUAACUGGGUUUUGGGUGCACAUUUCAAGAGGAUUUUGUGUUUUGACGAUGCCCAAAACACUAUCAUUUUUAUUUGUUCAAAUAGGGAAAUUUGUAAGCUCAUUUUUGCUCUUAUUCUUGUUAAGAAGACGAACAUCCGUGCAAGUUUUGACACUCUCUCGUCCUGUUUUAGCACAGUCAAGUCCUAAGUUAAUUGUUAUUAUAUGUUGUAAUUUGUUUAAAAUGAUUCUCUAUUGUUAUUGUUACUAUUACUUAAUUGUUAUUAUAUGUAGUUUCAGGUA